rnacentral:rRNA from 1 species
CUGACCGCUGGCGGCGUGCCUAAUACAUGCAAGUCGAGCGAACGGACGAGAAGCUUGCUUCUCUGAUGUUAGCGGCGGACGGGUGAGUAACACGUGGAUAACCUACCUAUAAGACUGGGAUAACUUCGGGAAACCGGAGCUAAUACCGGAUAAUAUUUUGAACCGCAUGGUUCAAAAGUGAAAGACGGUCUUGCUGUCACUUAUAGAUGGAUCCGCGCUGCAUUAGCUAGUUGGUAAGGUAACGGCUUACCAAGGCAACGAUGCAUAGCCGACCUGAGAGGGUGAGUGGCCAAACUGGAACUGAGACACGGUCCCGACUCCUACGGGAGGCAGCAGUAGGGAAUCCUCCGGAAUGGGCGAAAGCCUGACGGAGCAACGCCGCGUGAGUGAUGAAGGUCUUCGGCUCGUAAAACUCUGUUAUUAGGGAAGAACAUAUGUGUAAGUAACUGUGCACAUCUUGACGGUACCUAAUCAGAAAGCCACGGCUAACUACGUG